AACUAAACCAUAUAAGAAUAUGGUUCGGAAACAAAGAAUACAAUAGAAAACACUAAAAUUGGGUCAAAAUGACUACUUUUAGCUAAAUGUACCAACUUGCCAACUUGCUUGCUUGCUAUAUCUCAUGACCACACCACGUGAAUGUAAGUUGAUCCAGCAGUACUGUCUGACUCCAUGGAUACCAAGAACAUGUAGCUCAUUUCACCUACAUCUUCAAAAUCAAAUAUCUUAGACCUACGGUAAAUUAAGUGUAUGUAUAAAAUAGCCUAUGUCUAACAGAAAAUAUACAACCAGUUGUAUCCACGUUCACGAUGAAUCACACUUACUUUAUUGUGAAACAACUAAGAAAACAUGGAUGCAAAUAGUAAGCAAGCAAGAGAAGUAUCGAUUAUAUAAUUGGAUCUUACUCAGGCAUAGAGAAAAUAUGUGUACUUUCUAGCAAAGAUGAGCACGAGAGAGGGGGGAGGGAGAGAGGGAGAGGGAGAGGCCAGUACUUACCAAUGAACCCGUUAAACAAUGCAUAUCAACAAACAGUAUACUGAAACAUUAGAGUUGAAGAAAAAAAUAAAAGAUUAAUAUGUAAUAGUACAUGUGGAAGUCUAAUCAGUGUGUCAAAAGCCUUGAGAUGACUAUCUGCAUAACAAAUAAGCAGAAUUCAUGAUAAUAUAUAUAAGUUGGCGAACAUAAUUCCAUGUGAGGAUAUAUCUACCAAUUAGUUGACUUCCCUCUAUACUGUUUGUCGAAAUGUUGCAGAAAUUGCCAUUAACAAACAGCCAUGUGCAGGAAUAAAAAAGGCCACCUCAAGUCUAAUAGAUCUGUAGGAAUAAAAAUAGUUACCUCAAGUCUAAAUUAGUUCUGCAAGAAUCUUAUAAAGUGCAUGUUUUGACUCAAGCUAGAUAGGAUUCAGACUUAGGUGCAUGUGUUGGCUUAGUUCAAAUAAUGUUCUGAUUUGGGUGCGCAUUCACUUGAGCCAACAGAAAUUCAGAGUAAAAUGCGAAGGGAAUGUAACAUUUUUUUCUGCAUGGUUGUUCCAUAAAAGUGGAUGUAUUCGGUCAUUUGUGAACUAACUCAUGGGACAUCACAUAAGUAUUAGCAACUCAUCUGUAGGUUAUUGUGGCAGUAAAGCAGCAAGGCAAUAGCAGAGGACUGGAAUUAGGGGGAAUCUAGACUAACCUCAUGAGUGAACUGGAAGA
rnacentral:lncRNA from 1 species